rnacentral:rRNA from 1 species
UACAGAGGGUGCGAGCGUUGUCCGGAAUCACUGGGCGUAAAGGGCGCGUAGGUGGCCCGACAAGUCAGUGGUGAAAGUUCGACGCUUAACGUCGAAUCGGCCACUGAUACUGUUGGGCUGGAGCACUGUAGCGGCUCAUGGAAUUCCGGGUGUAGCGGUGGAAUGCGUAGAGAUCCGGAAGAACACCAGUGGCGAAGGCGGCUUACUGGACCGGUUCUGACGCUGAGGCGCGAAAAGCGUGGGGGAGCAAAACAGG